rnacentral:rRNA from 1 species
UGGGGAAUAUUGGACAAUGGGCGAAAGCCUGAUCCAGCCAUGCCGCGUGAAUGAUGAAGGCCUUAGGGUUGUAAAGUUCUUUUACCAGGGACGAUGAUGACGGUACCUGGAGAAUAAGCCCCGGCAAACUUCGUGCCAGCAGCCGCGGUAAUACGAAGGGGGCUAGCGUUGUUCGGAAUUACUGGGCGUAAAGCGCGCGUAGGCGGCUAUGCAAGUCAGAGGUGAAAUGCCAGAGCUUAACUUUGGAACUGCCUUUGAAACUGCAUAGCUUGAGACUCGGAGGGGAUAGCGGAAUUUCUAAUGUAGCGGUGAAAUGCGUAGAUAUUAGAAGGAACACCGGUGGCGAAGGCGGCUAUCUGGACGAGUACUGACGCUGAGGCGCGAAAGCGUGGGGAUCAAACAG